rnacentral:rRNA from 1 species
AGCGAAAGCUGGCGGCAGUCCUAACACAUGCCAGUCGAACGGACCUUUCGGUGUUAGUGGCGGACGGGUGAGUAACACGUGGUAACGUGCCUUUAGGUUCGGAAUAGCUCCUGGCAACGGGUGGUAAUGCCGAAUGUGCCCUUAGGGGGAAAGUUUUAUAGCGUUUCGAGCGGCCCGCGUCUGAUUAGCUAUUUGCUGAGGUAAUGGCUCACCAAGGCUACGAUCAGUAGCUGGUCUGAGAGGAUGAACAGCCACAUUGGGACAGAUACACGGACCAAUCUCGGACGGGAUGCAGAAGUGGUGAAUCGUGCGCAAUGAGCGAAAGUAUGACGGAGCAAUGCGGCGUGGAAGAUGAAGGUCAUAGGAUUGUAAAAUCCUUUCAACUGUGAAUAUAAUGACAGUAGGCGGAGAAGAAGCCCCGGCAAACUUCGUGCCAGCACCCGCCGUAA